UUGCACUAGGCGGGGAGUUAGCGGUGCCCUGAACUUGCAAUCCGCUAUAGCAAGGUUGAAUGGUUGGUGCGGCGGUUAAAAGUUUUUGGAUGAAUUUUAUUUUUUUAUGAUGAAAUCAAGGUCUUAUGCAAUAUUUUAUUGUGAACCAUGUGAGGUCCUGACGGAAGCAACAUUAAGCAAAUGUAAAUAUGUGAUGUAAGGAAACUUUGGUGGAGUAGAAGGGUAGAGUGGCUCAUUAGUUUUUGCCGACAAGCCAACCUGUGCAA
rnacentral:SRP_RNA from 1 species